ensembl:lncRNA
AUCAGAUAUAUAUAAACACGAAUAGUUAAGAAUCUUUAAUGCGCUUACCUCAGCCAUUUAAAUCAGCCACGCCCCUUUAAAUAGUUCACAGUAUUUGUGUUUAAAUCAUGCCAGCAGAGCCAAUGAACAACACUUUGCCAUUUUUAUUAUGCAGCCGCGUUCUUUGUUAGUCAUGUAUCAGUUUUACUAAUUUACGGUUGUCAUAUUUACACACCUGACACAUUCUUCUUGAUCUUUAAGGACUGGAGUAUGUUUAUUUGUUAUGUUUAUUCAUACAGAAAUGCAGCCUUGCUCCUCUGAGACUCAAGGAAAGAAAUACACCCAGACAUUCUCAGAGGAAUGGAGAUCUGAACAUGAUUUUAAGGACACUGAGAUGCAUAUGAAACUAGAAGUUUAUACACAACAGGAGGAGAAUGAAGAGCAAAUGCACGUGUGCAGUGAAUCAGCAUCUUUAUCACCAUGUAUGUACAAUUAUCAUGAUCAGAUGCCCAGCAAAGACAAUGAAACCCAAAUGAUGGACAAUAGUGAGAACAAUUUUCCCUUUAUUAACAAAGCACCUCGAAUUAAGACUGAACUUGAGAGUAAUUCUGAAACAAUUACCACCUGUCAAGUACAGCAGCACAUCACAAAACACGGCUUGAAUGAUUCAGGGGCCAGUGAUGCUUCCAGUGAUGCCAACAAAAUCACAUUCAGCCACAUUGGCUCCCCCAGACAUGAGACACAAACAUUUAAUCUGCCCCUCAGAAAUCAAGAGAUGUUGACCCAGAUAAGAGACAGAUAUCAAAGACGAAAAUCUCAGGGGAAAGUGAAAUUCGCUAAAGAUCUGAACCCAACAGAACUGAGAAGGCAACAGAAAAAGUGGAGGGAGAAUUCAGCCGCUUACAGGAGAAAGAAAGCAUUUCAGGAGGUUUUAGUCAAUAUUAAAGAAGAAAUUAAUCAAGUCAUCCCAGAGUCAGAGCCGUCCACCUCCUCUGAUCAACAUUAUGGUGUUUUUUAAUGUUCACUGAGAGAUUUGGGCAAAAUAUUCCUGUUUCUCAACUGAUAGAUUAUAUGAGUAUGUCAUUAGCCAGAGCCGAGGUCAUUGGUAGGAUUCCCAGAAAAUGCUCAUCUCAAUGUAUUUAAUGCACUUUACAACAUCUACCAAAUGCAUUAAUGUAAAUAUUCUUUUAAAAAAGUAAACUGCAUGCAUUCUGACAGAAAUACUAGCACAUGCACAUUGAUUCCAUGUCAUCAGUGUAAUAAUUGAAUUAAAAUAUACUUUAGAUUACACAAAUGACCAAGUAUUUAUGAUUCUUUAUGCUCUUGAUGAAUUUUGAAAUAAAAAAAAAAGUGAAUGAAGCA